CUUAUCAAGAGUGGCGGAGGGACAGGCCCGAUGAUGCCCGGCAACCGGUUCGCGGUGCGAACAAGGUGCCAAUUCCUGCGGCGGAGCGUCCGCCGAAAGAUGAGG
rnacentral:ncRNA from 1 species